UGACGCAAAUUUCCAAUCUCUUCAGGAAGUCUAGAAAGACAAUCACAUCCUUCAAGGUUUAGAAUUUCCAAGUUAUCCAAAGAGCAAAUUGAAUCAGGUAACUCCUCAACUUUGCUCCAACUUAUAUUAAUGUUGCUUAAGUGAUGCAAAUUUCCAAUCCUUUCAGGAAGUCUAGAAAGACACUUACAUCUAUAAAGGUGUAGAAUUUUCAAGUUAUCCAAAGAGCAAAUUGAAUCAGGUAACUCCUCAACUUUGCUCCAACUUAUAUCAAUCUUGCUUAAGUGAUGCAAAUUUCCAAUCCUUUCAGGAAGUCUAGAAAGACACUUACAUGCAUAAAGGUUUAGAAUUUCCAAGUUAUCCAAAGAGCAAAUUGAAUCAGGUAACUCCUCAACUUUGCUCUGACCUAAAUCAAUCUUGCUUAGGUGACGCAAAUUUCCAAUCCCUUCAGGUAGUCUAGAAAGACGCUCACAUCCAUAAAGAUUUAGAGUUUGC